GUGGGGAAUAUUGGGCAAUGGGCGCAAGCCUGACCCAGCAACGCCGCGUGAGGGAAGAAGGCUUUCGGGUUGUAAACCUCUGUCCUUGGUGACGAAACAAAUGACGGUAGCCAAGGAGGAAGCCCCGGCUAACUACGUGCCAGCAGCCGCGGUAAUACGUAGGGGGCGAGUGUUGUCCGGAAUUACUGGGCGUAAAGGGUGCGUAGGUGGCCUUUUAAAUUGGAUGUGAAAUACCCGGGCUUAACUUGGGGGGUGCAUCCAAAACUGGAAGGCUAGAGUGCAGGAGAGGAAAGCGGAAUUACUAGUGUAGCGGUGAAAUGCGUAGAUAUUAGGAGGAACACCAGUGGCGAAGGCGGCUUUCUGGACUGUAAAUGACACUGAGGCACGAAAGCGUGGGGAGCAAACAGGAUUAGAAACCCGAGUAGUCC
rnacentral:rRNA from 1 species